UUCCCUACCACGCUGAGGUGCGCUGGCUGAGCAAAGGGAAAGCGAUUUCCCGAAUUUUUCGACUACGCCACACUGUGGCUCAGUUUUUGGAGAGCAAAGGACGCCCGGAGCCACUUUUUCAUGACCCUGAAUGGGUAGCUGAUUUAGGAUUUUUAGCAGACAUUAUGGCUCUCCUAAAUGAUUUAAGUCUGAAACUCCAAAAAGAAAACAAUCUCAUCAACGAUAUGAUCAGCAAAAUAAAUGCUUUCCAGUAUAAACUGAAGCUCCUCAAAAACAACCUUUCAGAGAAAAAUACGCAACACUUUCCUGAACUAGCAUCUGUGCAGGAAGGAGCGCGCUUUGAAAAAUACGUCGAGGUGCUCUAAUCCCUUGAAAAUGCGUUUAACGACCGAUUCCAGGAAAUUACCUACCUGCAGGCGAUUCUCGAUGUUUUUGUGAAACCUUUUUCGAUGUAUAUUGAAAGUGCCCCUUCAGAUUUUCAUUUCGAACUAAUUGAUUUGCAAAGCGAUGUUCACCGAAAGGAUGUGUUUUACAAUACAAAAGGUUUGCUCCAGUUCUACCAGAAUUUACCGAAGGAAGAAUUUCCCAAGUUACACAGAGAAGCAGCGAAGAUUAUUUCUAUGUUUGGUUCCACUUGUGUAUAUGAAAGGUUUUUUUUGUUUUGUCUUGUACAAAAACUAGAUUGCGUGCGAGUAUUUCUAAU